GACGUAGGGCGCGAGCGUUGUCCGGAUUUAUUGGGCGUAAAGAGCUCGUAGGCGGCUUGUCGCGUCGUCCGUGAAAACCUGCAGCUCAACUGCAGGCUUGCGGUCGAUACGGGCAGGCUGGAGUUCGGCAGGGGGAGACUGGAAUUCCUGGUGUAGCGGUGAAAUGCGCAGAUAUCAGGAGGAACACCGGUGGCGAAGGCGGGUCUCUGG
rnacentral:rRNA from 1 species